UAGAUAGCUUAGUUGGUAGAGCAUGAGACUCCUAAUCUCAGGAACAUGGGUUUGAACCCCACAUUGGGCAAAA